rnacentral:rRNA from 1 species
UACGAAGGUCCCAAGCGUUAUCCGGAUUUAUUGGGUUUAAAGGGUGCGUAGGCGGGUUAUUAAGUCAGUGGUGAAAGCUCCAUGCCUAACAUGGAAAUUGCCAUUGACACUGAUGAUCUUGAGUACAUUUGAAGUGGGCGGAAUGUGUCAUGUAGCGGUGAAAUGCUUAGAUAUGACACAGAACACCGAUUGCGUAGGCAGCUCACUAAACUGUAACUGACGCUGAGGCACGAAAAGCAUGGGGGAGCAAACAGG